AGGGUAGCUCCCUAUUCUUGGUGAAGGUAAACCGAGAGUACAUAUAUCUGUAUGUAUAAUUUCCACAUGUAAGUAGAUAAUGCACUAUCUUAUACAUGGAUGGGACACUAAUAAUUACACAGUUAGUGCAAGACUAAAUUUCCACACAUGGGUUGUAUAUGUGGAAAGCUAAUAGUUAGAUUUAAACAGGAAGAAAUACACAAAUGUUUGAAUCCCAAUAUAAAAAUCCUGGUAUUUCAGGUACACUGAGGUGCAAAUCAGUGUUGGGUACUCAUCUAUACUUGGAUAUAAAUAUAUCCGAGCGGAAAA
rnacentral:ncRNA from 1 species